rnacentral:rRNA from 1 species
UGGGGAAUUUUGGACAAUGGGCGAAAGCCUGAUCCAGCCAUGCCGCGUGAGUGAAGAAGGCCUUCGGGUUGUAAAGCUCUUUUAGUCGGAAAGAAAGAGUUGCAAUGAAUAAUUGUGAUUUAUGACGGUACCGACAGAAAAAGCACCGGCUAACUCCGUGCCAGCAGCCGCGGUAAUACGGAGGGUGCGAGCGUUAUCCGGAUUUACUGGGUUUAAAGGGUGCGCAGGUGGGCUUAUAAGUCAGUGGUGAAAUCUCCGAGCUUAACUUGGAAACUGCCGUUGGUACUAUAGGUCUUGAAUUAUCUGGAGGUAAGCGGAAUAUGUCAUGUAGCGGUGAAAUGCUUAGAUAUGACAUAGAACACCAAUUGCGAAGGCAGCUUACUACAUAUAAGUUGACGCUGAGGCACGAAAGCGUGGGGAUCAAACA